UGCUGCGGCGCCGCCGCCGGCGGCUGCUGUUGAGGAUGAUGCCCUCCAGGUCUAUCCAUUUGCCUAGGAACCAAGAAGUCUUAAUAACUGUUUUGGUGAUUGGGGCCAGCAGAAACCUUCUUCCUGACAUUCUUCUAAGUGACAGUUCCUGCUUCCAGCUUCCUGCCAAGACUUCCUUUAAUGAUGGACUGUAACCUGAAGCUCAAACCCCAAAUGACGUUCCUGCUCUGUUGCCUGUACCCUGGAUUGCUCACCACCUGAGCCUACCUGCCCUUGUGGGGUUGGAGGUGAGGUGUCACAAAGUCAUCAACACAGACUCUGGAAACAGAGAAGGCUCCUGGAAGGAACUGCUCAGCUGGGGACUACACCUUCUUUUUGUUUUGGUACAGAGAGAGACCAGCUGACUGGUUUUCAGAAUGAAAAGAGUCUAGCUGGCAGCCCAAAGAGGUGACUGAGAACUGGCUGUGUAAGAACAGCAGAGCUUCCUGGGAGAAACAGGCUUCAUUUUUCCUGCUUUAAAAAAAAAUAUGCGAGAACUCCAAUGUUCUGGCAAAAUUAAGGAAACCUGCAAUCAGUUGCUUGGAAAAAAAAACCCAGCAAACCUGUCUGUAGUAAAUUACAUAUUGGGACAAAGCCCCACUGACUCCCGAGGCUGCCUUCCUCCCUGCACCCCACCCUGCUGCCAUCCUUAAGGUAAUGUCCUUCAGACUGCACAAGCUGCAUUUCAGAGACCUGCAGUCCAAACUUGACACCUAAGAACUGUGUCCCUUUAGGUAAGUCUCAUGGCUUUUUGUCUGAGUUUCAUGAUAUUAUUUGUAACAUGACCUUAAAUCUGUUUCUUCAUAUUGAUAUGAGAAAUAAACACACUUUCAUCAGC
ensembl:antisense Gm7854 predicted gene 7854